AACGAACGCUGGCGGCAUGCCUAACACAUGCCAGUCGAACGAGACCUUCGGGUCUAGUGGCGCACGGGUGCGUAACGCGUGGGAACCUGCCCUUAGGUUCGGAAUAACUCCCCGAAAGGGGUGCUAAUACCGGAUAAUGUCUUCGGACCAAAGAUUUAUCGCCUUUGGAUGGGCCCGCGUUGGAUUAGCUAGUUGGUAGGGUAAAAGCCUACCAAGGCGACGAUCCAUAGCUGGUCUGAGAGGAUGAUCAGCCACACUGGGACUGAGACACGGCCCAGACUCCUACGGGAGGCAGCAGUGGGGAAGAUUGGACAAUGGGCGAGAGCCUGAUCCAGCAAUGCCGCGUGAGUGAUGAAGGCCUUAGGGUUGUAAAGCUCUUUUACCCGGGAUGAUAAUGACAGUACCGGGAGAAUAAGCUCCGGCUAACUCCGUG
rnacentral:rRNA from 1 species